rnacentral:rRNA from 1 species
AUGCGUUGUUGGGUAGGGGAGCGUUCUGUAAGCCUGCGAAGGUGUGCUGUGAGGCAUGCUGGAGGUAUCAGAAGUGCGAAUGCUGACAUAAGUAACGAUAAAGCGGGUGAAAAGCCCGCUCGCCGGAAGACCAAGGGUUCCUGUCCAACGUUAAUCGGGGCAGGGUGAGUCGACCCCUAAGGCGAGGCCGAAAGGCGUAGUCGAUGGGAAACAGGUUAAUAUUCCUGUACUUGGUGUUACUGCGAAGGGGGGACGGAGAAGGCUAUGUUGGCCGGGCGACGGUUGUCCCGGUUUAAGCGUGUAGGCUGGUUUUCCAGGCAAAUCCGGAAAAUCAAGGCUGAGGCGUGAUGACGAGGCACUGCGGUGCUGAAGCAACAAAUGCCCUGCUUCCAGGAAAAGCCUCUAAGCAUCAGGUAACAUCAAAUCGUACCCCAAACCGACACAGGUGGUCAGGUAGAGAAUACCAAGGCGCUUGAGAGAACUCGGGUGAAGGAACUAGGCAAAAUGGUGCCGUAACUUCGGGAGAAGGCACGCUGAUAUGUAGGUGAAGUCCCUCGCGGAUGGAGCUGAAAUCAGUCGAAGAUACCAGCUGGCUGCAACUGUUUAUUAAAAACACAGCACUGUGCAAACACGAAAGUGGACGUAUACGGUGUGACGCCUGCCCGGUGCCGGAAGGUUAAUUGAUGGGGUUAGCGCAAGCGAAGCUCUUGAUCGAAGCCCCGGUAAACGGCGGCCGUAACUAUAACGGUCCUAAGGUAGCGAAAUUCCUUGUCGGGUAAGUUCCGACCUGCACGAAUGGCGUAAUGAUGGCCAGGCUGUCUCCACCCGAGACUCAGUGAAAUUGAACUCGCUGUGAAGAUGCAGUGUACCCGCGGCAAGACGGAAAGACCCCGUGAACCUUUACUAUAGCUUGACACUGAACAUUGAGCCUUGAUGUGUAGGAUAGGUGGGAGGCUUUGAAGUGUGGACGCCAGUCUGCAUGGAGCCGACCUUGAAAUACCACCCUUUAAUGUUUGAUGUUCUAACGUUGACCCGUAAUCCGGGUUGCGGACAGUGUCUGGUGGGUAGUUUGACUGGGGCGGUCUCCUCCUAAAGAGUAACGGAGGAGCACGAAGGUUGGCUAAUCCUGGUCGGACAUCAGGAGGUUAGUGCAAUGGCAUAAGCCAGCUUGACUGCGAGCGUGACGGCGCGAGCAGGUGCGAAAGCAGGUCAUAGUGAUCCGGUGGUUCUGAAUGGAAGGGCCAUCGCUCAACGGAUAAAAGGUACUCCGGGGAUAACAGGCUGAUACCGCCCAAGAGUUCAUAUCGACGGCGGUGUUUGGCACCUCGAUGUCGGCUCAUCACAUCCUGGGGCUGAAGUAGGUCCCAAGGGUAUGGCUGUUCGCCAUUUAAAGUGGUACGCGAGCUGGGUUUAGAACGUCGUGAGACAGUUCGGUCCCUAUCUGCCGUGGGCGCUGGAGAACUGAGGGGGGCUGCUCCUAGUACGAGAGGACCGGAGUGGACGCAUCACUGGUGUUCGGGUUGUCAUGCCAAUGGCACUGCCCGGUAGCUAAAUGCGGAAGAGAUAAGUGCUGAAAGCAUCUAAGCACGAAACUUGCC